UUUAGAUAUUCAUCAUUUAGCUGACAAAGACUCAUCUCUUUUAAGUUUCCCUAAUUGGUAGAGCAUACAAGAUUUUAGUUGUCACUCUUAACCCUAGACAAGCAUGUGCAACACUGAGGAAAUUCUUGAGUCCGAACUUGCAAAGUUGGAAAAAGUAGGUAUUUUUAAAUGGUUACUGAAAUUUGUUUUGAUAACAAUGAUUUCAUCAUGUCCCUGAGACCACCUCGCUGAGAGUGAAGGGCUGAUAACUGAAUUAGAGUAUUUAAAGCCUGAAGGUUUUCACAAGGGUAUCAUGUAAACAAAAUGUUUUGUUGUUAUAAUAAGCUUUUGUUGGCAUUUAUUUGGUACAAUUAGCAGUUCUUGUGGCAUUGUCAUCCUUCAAUAAGGCAGCCAUCGGACUGGUGCUAUGAAAAUUGUAUUUCCUGACUCAUAUGCAUUUUCCAAAUAUACACACUUGUUAAAUAUUUGGCGUGGAGUAUUGGCUUUGUUCUCUACUUGAAAUCUGUUUUC
rnacentral:lncRNA from 1 species